GCGCCGCCGCUGGCGCGUGGAUCACCGUAGCUCCUCCGCUCACAGUCACUGAGCCUUCAGAUCGUCUCUGUUAGGUAAUUUACGUCAUCCUAGACUUGGUUGAAGCCUCUAUUCCGAUUUAGACUAAAAACCCUAAUUUCUAUUGUUUAAAUUGGAUUGUGUGAGGUUUGGAGAAUCUGCAUUUGGGUUUAAAGAGGAGAGCCCCAAGGUGAGGCUUUGAUUGAAUCACCGUUGAAGGAGAAGGGGCUCUAAAGAAAUCGAGUUUCGUGUCGAAGGAUAUCGUAGCAGAGGAGUUAAUUUUGGAGAAGAAGAAUGGACUGGAGCGUGUGCACAUGGAAUUGGAUGAAGUAUCCAAUGUCAGAGACAAAACUAAGUUUGGGCGAGCACUCCAUAUCCAGGUUUCGAGUAUGUGGUCGGGGAGCGUACAGAG